rnacentral:snRNA from 1 species
CUACAUCCAUGGCAUGGGCAAUGUUAUGAUCAUGAAGGUGGUUUUUUCCAUGGCAAAGCUUGUCCAUUGCACACCUGAUGUGCUGACCCUGUGACUUUUUAAACAUGUGGGAGACUUGACUGCAUAACUUGUGGUCCCAAGGGGCUGAUUAAUGCUCUCUCCUAG